rnacentral:rRNA from 1 species
AGCCUGAUGCAGCAACGCCGCGUGAGGGACGACGGCCUUCGGGUUGUAAACCUCUUUUAGCAGGAAAGAAGCGAAAGUGACGGUACCUGCAGAAAAAGCGCCGGCUAACUACGUGCCAGCAGCCGCGGUAAUACGUAGGGCGCAAGCGUUAUCCGGAAUUAUUGGGCGUAAAGAGCUCGUAGGCGGUCUGUCGCGUCUGCUGUGAAAACCCGAGGCUCAACCUCGGGCCUGCAGUGGGUACGGGCAGACUAGAGUGCGGUAGGGGAGAUUGGAAUUCCUGGUGUAGCGGUGGAAUGCGCAGAUAUCAGGAGGAACACCGAUGGCGAAGGCAGAUCUCUGGGCCGUAACUGACGCUGAGGAGCGAAAGGGUGGGGAGCAAACAGGCUUAGAUACCCUGGUAGUCCACCCCGUAAACGUUGGGAACUAGUUGUGGGGUCCAUUCCACGGAUUCCGUGACGCAGCUAACGCAUUAAGUUCCCCGCCUGGGGAGUACGGCCGCAAGGCUAAAACUCAAAGGAAUUGACGGGGACCCGCACAAGCGGCGGAGCAUGCGGAUUAAUUCGAUGCAACGCGAAGAACCUUACCAAGGCUUGACAUAUACGAGAACGGGCCAGAAAUGGUCAACUCUUUGGACACUCGUAAACAGGUGGUGCAUGGUUGUCGUCAGCUCGUGUCGUGAGAUGUUGGGUUAAGUCCCGCAACGAGCGCAACCCUCGUUCUAUGUUGCCAGCACGUAAUGGUGGGAACUCAUGGGAUACUGCCGGGGUCAACUCGGAGGAAGGUGGGGAUGACGUCAAAUCAUCAUGCCCCUUAUGUCUUGGGCUUCACGCAUGCUACAAUG